rnacentral:rRNA from 1 species
UUAUGUGCAUACCUACAACAUAGUGUUAAUGCACCAGAUCACAUUAGAACUCCACAGUUAAGCGCACUCGGGCUAGAGUAGUACUGUGAUGGGUGAUUGCCUAGGAAGUAUUAUUAUUUUACAUGCC